rnacentral:rRNA from 1 species
UACGUACGAGGCGAGCGUUAUCCGGAGUUACUGGGCGUAAAGCGCACGCAGGCGGUCUUUUAAGUUUGGAGUGACAGUUGGUGGCUUAACUGCCAAAGUGCUUCGAAAACUGACAGACUUGAGGGCUUCAGAGGGACACGGAAUUCCGGGUGGAGUGGUGAAAUGCGUAGAGAUCCGGAGGAACACCAAAGGCGAAGGCAGUGUCCUGGGGAGUACCUGACGCUCAGGUGCGAAAGCCAGGGGAGCGAACGGG